CUAAUGUGCUUCUUGAUAAAAAUCUUACCCCAAAGAUAUCUGACUUUGGAUUGGCCAAGCUUGAUGAAGAGGACAAUACACACAUUAGCACCCGUAUUGCUGGAACUUAUGGAUAUAUGGCACCUGAAUAUGCAAUGCGGGGUUAUCUGACUGACAAAGCAGAUGUUUAUAGCUUUGGAAUUCUUGUAUUGGAAA